GACGAACGCUGGCGGCGUGCUUAACACAUGCAAGUCGAACGAUGAAGCCUAGCAAUCUUUGGUUGUUGGGUGGAUUAGUGGCGAACGGGUGAGUAAUACGUGGGUAACCUGCCCUCCUUUUUGGGAUAAGCCUUGGAAACGGGGUCUAAUACCGAAUAUUCUGGCGCUCUCGCAUGGGGGUGUUGGGAAAGCUUUUGUGUGAAGGGGGAUGGGCUCGCGGCCUAUCAGCUUGUUGGUGGGGUGAUGGCCUACCAAGGCGGUGACGGGUAGCCGGCCUGAGAGGGUGACCGGCCACAUUGGGACUGAGAUACGGCCCAGACUCCUACGGGAGGCAGCAGUGGGGGAUAUUGCACAAUGGGCGAAAGCCUGAUGCAGCGACGCCGCGUGGGGGAUGAAGGCUUUCGGGUUGUAAACCUCUUCCGCUAUCGAACAAGGCCCGCUUAGGGUGGGUUGAGGGUAGGUGGAGAAGAAGCGCCGGCUAACUACGUGCCAGCAGCCGCGGUAAUACGUAGGGCGCGAGCGUUGUCCGGAAUUAUUGGGCGUAAAGGGCUUGUAGGCGGCUUGUUGCGCCUGCUGUGAAAACGCGGGGCUUAACUUCGCGCGUGCAGUGGGUACGGGCAGGCUUGAGUGUGGUAGGGGUGACUGGAAUUCCAGGUGUAGCGGUGGAAUGCGCAGAUAUCUGGAGGAACACCGAUGGCGAAGGCAGGUCACUGGGCCAUUACUGACGCUGAGGAGCGAAAGCAUGGGUAGCGAACAGG
rnacentral:rRNA from 1 species